UCAGACCGUUGCUACCUUUAUUUCUAUCAGGCACUAAUCUCACCCUAAAAGAUAGAACCCCCUCUGUCACUCUCACCCUAAUAAACCCUUCUCUCCAAUCUCUCCCUAUCCCUCCCACCGAUCCGGCGCAUCCGGCGCAUCCGUCAUCUCUCUUCUCUUAAUCUCUUCCCCUAAGGUCCUCGAUUGGAAACUGAGUAAUGUGGCUUUCGAACGGGAAGCUUCUGGUCUGCAAUCGCCAACCUUCGUCGCGCGAAUCUAGAGUUUCAUUGUUGGUUUGCUUUGCUCUGUCAACUCCUAACUCCAAAUAAGCAAGGAGCGUGAGCCCAUAAGCUGAAAAUAUUACAUAAAAGAAAUUGGUCCUCGCUUGGUAGACAUUUACUAAGAGGCAUGUGAAAGGAACAAGAAUUAGAGCUUCUGAGGAUAGAUAUCUGAGAAAAGAUAUUCCGGGAGAUGAAGAUGAGUUUAAAAAAUUAGUUAAAAAGAUCCCCCAAAUAGCAGUUCUGUUUGGAUAAAUAUACAUGACAUUUCUGGUAUUUUUAGCUGAUGUUAAGAAGGCAGACUCAAUGCCAGAUUACGCCGAGUGCUCAUUCAAAAAUGUUGCAAGAAAUGACUAUGAUUCUUUUUGGAAUUUUAGUUCAUCUGAUGAUGUAAUAUUGAAGUACCUAUACAUGAUUUUUAAUAAUAUAUAUUUUACUUAAUUGAUGGCU